rnacentral:rRNA from 1 species
CAGCAGCCGCGGUAAGACGGAGGGUGCUAGCGUUGUUCGGAAUCACUGGGCGUAAAGGGCGCGUAGGCGGCCUGUUAAGUCGGAUGUGAAAGCCCGGGACUCAACCCCGGAACUGCAUCCGAGACUGGCAGGCUUGAGACCGGGAGAGGAGGGUGGAAUAUCCAGUGUAGAGGUGAAAUUCGUAGAUUUUGGAUGGAACACCGGUGGCGAAAGCGGCUCUCUGGCCCGGAUCUGACGCUGAGGCGCGAAAGCGUGGGGAGCAAACAGGAUUAGAUACCCCCGUAGUCCCUGUCUCUUAUAC